AGUGAACGCUGGCGGUAGGCCUAACACAUUCAAGUCGAACGGCAGCACAGUAAGAGCUUGCUCUUACGGGUGGCGAGUGGCGGACGGGUGCGGAAUACAUCGGAAUCUACUUUUUCGUGGGGGAUAACGUAGGGAAACUUACGCUAAUACCGCAUACGACCUACGGGUGAAAGCAGGGGAUCUUCGGACCUUGCGCGAUUUAAUUAGCCGAUGUCGGAUUAGCUAGUUGGCGGGGUAAAGGCCCACCAAGGCGACGAUCCGUAGCUGGUCUGAGAGGAUGAACAGACACACUGGAAGUGAAACACGAUCCAGACACCUAAGGGAGGGAGCAGUGGGGAAUAUUGGACAAAGGGCGCAAGCCUGAUCCAGACAUACCGCGUGGGUGAAGAAGACCUUCAGGUUGUAAAGCCCUUUUGUUGGGAAAGAAAAGCAGCAGGUUAAUACCCCGCUGGUCUGACGGUACCAAAAGAAUAAGAACCGGCUAACUUCGUG
rnacentral:rRNA from 1 species